ACUCACCGAUCCGCACCGGCUUCUCCCGGAAGGGUGUCCGCGCAGGCGUGGGCGUGGCUACGCCGCCAUCUUUGCGCUCGCGCGCCGCGACGUCACGCGCCCUGCAGGGCGGGCCCCUGAGCUGAGGCCCAAUUCUGGUGAAUGAUUUCCUUCUGACAGAAGUUGUCCCUCAAAAGCAAAUGUGCAAUAAAUGAAACAGAUCUCAGCAUGCUGGACUUCUCUAUGGACAGACAUUCAGGUUAUUUCUUCUGCACAUUAGUAGAGGUGCCAUGAGUGGAAGAGCUAAGUCACAGGUGAAGACACCAAGGCUCAGAGAGAUCCAUGUGUUGUCUGCAGUCACACUAAUGAACGGUAAGGGACAGAACCUUUCUGGGAAGAGACUGUCCACAGG